GACAGAGGGGGCAAGCGUUGCUCGGAAUUACUGGGCGUAAAGGGCGCGUAGGCGGGAUGGCAAGUCGGUCGUGAAAUCCCUCGGCUCAACUGAGGAUCGUCGAUCGAUACUGCCGUUCUUGAGGAUUGCAGAGGAGACUGGAAUUCCCGGUGUAGCGGUGAAAUGUGUAGAGAUCGGGAGGAACACCGGUGGCGAAGGCGGGUCUCUGGGCCGAUAUUGACGCUGAGGAGCGAAAGCGUGGGGAGCAAACAGG
rnacentral:rRNA from 1 species